GAUCCUGGCUCAGGAUGAACGCUAGCUACAGGCUUAACACAUGCAAGUCGAGGGGCAGCAUUUUAGUUUGCUUGCAAACUGAAGAUGGCGACCAGCGCACGGGUGAGUAACACGUAUCCAACCUGCCGAUAACUCCGGAAUAGCCUUUCGAAAGAAAGAUUAAUACCGGAUAGCAUACGAAUAUCGCAUGAUAUUUUUAUUAAAGAUUUAUCGGUGUACGAUGGGGAUGCGUUCCA
rnacentral:rRNA from 1 species